rnacentral:rRNA from 1 species
GGAGUUAGCCGGUGCUUCUUCUGCGAGUAACGUCACAGAUGUAAGGUAUUAACUUACACCCUUUCCUCCUCGCUGAAAGUGCUUUACAACCCGAAGGCCUUCUUCACACACGCGGCAUGGCUGCAUCAGGGUUUCCCCCAUUGUGCAAUAUUCCCCACUGCUGCCUCCCGUAGGAGUCUGGGCCGUGUCUCAGUCCCAGUGUGGCUGAUCAUCCUCUCAGACCAGCUAGGGAUCGUCGCCUAGGUGAGCCUUUACCUCACCUACUAGCUAAUCCCACCUGGGCUUAUCCAUCAGCGCAAGGCCCGAAGGUCCCCUGCUUUCCCCCGUAGGGCGUAUGCGGUAUUAGCAGUCGUUUCCAACUGUUAUCCCCCACAAAUGGGCAAAUUCCCAGGCAUUACUCACCCGUCCGCCGCUCGUCAUCUUCAAAAGCAAGCUUUUGAAAUGUUACCGCUCGACUUGCAUGUGUUAGGCCUGCCGCCAGCGUUCAAUCUGAGCCAGAAUCGAACCCUGA